CUCAUCCUCGCCUUCGUCACCUUCGUCUUCAUCAUCUUCAUCAUCCUGGCCUUCAUCAUCCUCAUCAUCCUCCUGAGCUUCAUCAUCAUCCUCAUCGUCCUCGUCCUGACCUUCAUCAUCCUCCUCGUCCUGACCUUCAUCAUCAUCGUCGUCAUCCUGUCCUUCAUCACCAUCGUCUUCAUCAGCCCCGGGAAGGGAAUUCACCGUCACCUUCAUCACCUUCAUCAUCCUCACCUUCAUCUUCCUCGCCUGGGGAUGGGAGAGCUUCGUCGUCUUCAUCGUCUUCACCUUCAUCAUCCUCGCCGCGAAACGAGAGGGGGAGGCCUUCGUCGUCAUCAUCAUCAUCCUCCCCUUCCUGAGCCUUUGGCCUCGUCGGGUUGGGUUUCCUCCUCCUCCUCAGGGGGGUGAGGGACCCUCAUCAUCCUCGCUGUGAAAUGAGGGGCCUUCAUCCUCCUCCUCCUCCUCCUCGUGAGCCUUCGGCCUCGUCGGGUUCGGUUGUAUUCCCUCCUCCUCCUCCUCAUGACCUUCGGCCUCACUGGCUUUGAUUCCCUCCUCCUCCUCCUCCCGAGCCUUCGGCCUCAUCGGGUUCACGAUUCCUCCUCCUCCUCCUCGGCUUCGAUUUCCUCCUCUUCCUCCUCCUGAGCCUUCGGCCUCGCCGCCUUUGGGUUUCUCUCCCUCCUCUUCCUCUUCCUCCCCUCCCCUCCCCCCAAAAUCGGCGCUGUCGGAGGGACCCCCCCCAAAAAAACCCCAAAAAUCCCCAAAUUUGGGGGUUCGGCCCCAAAAUAAACAAAAAAACCCCAAAAUUGGGAAAAUUUGGAGCUUUUGCCCCCCAAAAAUCCCAAAAUUUGAGGGGUUUGCCCCCAAAAAAAAGGGAAAAUUUGGGGUUUCCUCCCAAAAAGCCCCAAAAUUGGGGAAAUUCGGGGCCCCUCCCCCAAUAAAGGAAAUGCUCUGGAAUUUUGGGGUUUUGGUGCCUUUUUUGGGGGAAAAAAGGGAAUUUUUGGGUAAAAAAUGGGAUUUUUGGGUAAAAAAUGGGAAUUUUUGGGUGAAAAUAUGGAAAUUUUUGGGUUUGGGGAGGAUUUUUGGGGUGAAAAAAGGGAAUUUUGGGGAGAAAAUGGGAAUUUUUGGGGUGAAAAAUGGGAAUUUUUGGGGUUCCUGGAGAUAUUCUGGGGGAAAAAUUGGGAAUUUUUGGGGGUAAAAAAUGGAGAUUUGGGGAAAAAAGGGAAUUUUCUGAGUGAAAAAUGGAAAUUUUGGGGGUUCCAGGAGGAAUUUUGGGGAAAUAUGGAAAUUUGGGG
rnacentral:lncRNA from 1 species